UUCAAACGUGUAAAUUUCAUACGCCCUUCAUCGAGUCGGUGAACGACGAGCGAUUUUAAGUCGUCGGUCGGGUAUCCGAACCGACAGGAUCACGCAGAAUGCGUUCACGAACUCGGGAAGGUUCGGCAUGAAAUUGGCCGCAGUUAAGCGUCGUCCAUCGCGCGUGACGUCACGGCAAACGGUCGUUCGUCGCCGACCGGCCGACCGUUAGUUUUCCCUCGCAUGUUUCUUUCGACGGACGCGUCACACGUCGCUCAGCUCCGAGCUCGAACGUUCGCGAUGACCCGCGCGACAACAAGGGCGUAGACGGAGGUCACCGCGCGCUCUUACUCGAUCGCGAACGGUCAGGCUGGUAAUAGGCGAUGUGCCUCGCUUCUAGUUGUAUGAGUCUUCGAGACGCCGCGCCGCCAUGAAAAGUGGACAAACGGAUUCUCUUUCUGUACGCGAUCGGAGGCUGCGUGCAGAGACGAGUGAUCUAUACGAAAUUGUGCAUCGCGAAUGACUCGGUCCAACCAUAAGCAGGCAGGCUCGAGAUUGCGUGAUACGUGGCGAAACAGUGAGAUUCAAUGGUGUUCUAAGAAACGGCGAAACUUCGAACGGCGAUUCUCCGAUCUCUCGGAUAAUUAAUGACAUGGUCAGCGUAUCGAGAAGAUGGCUUUUUGUUUGUGGCGUACAUCUCGGUGUCGCCACACCUUCGACAGAUUCGUUCGUACAUCCGGCUGGCUUUCGAGAGAUUUGUUAUUCGAAUCACGCUGAUUCUCGCAGGAGAUUUUGCACUUUUGUGAAUCUUCCCUUCGUGCGGUCUUUUCUACGUUAUCGCGUGAUUAACCGCGUUUCAAAUGAAUAAAUAUUGUGGGAGUGCAACGAAGAGAUCUACGAGCAAGAAGCGAAGGCUUAGCAGACAGCAAGGAUGAUACGUCUUUUAUGGAAAGUGCUACAUGGAAAUUCUUACAAGAUUAACAACCUAAAUAGUCUGAGAGGAGGAGGAGGCCUAGGAUAGGUAUCGGGUGCCAGCAGAGCAACUUUGUGAAUCAUCGUACAGUCAGUGUUGCAGUAACUCCGCUGUCGCGCAUCGGUUGGUGAGUGAUAAAUAAAUAUUUUAUUGAAAUAAUGAAUUUAUGUCGAAGAAAAAAUAUGGCAAUAACGCAAUUAUAAAACGAAUUUUCUAAUUUUUGUAAUGCUCAUAAGGUUGAUUUUAAUUUAUAAAAAAUAAAGGAUAUAGUUAGGUUUUAUAUGUGCAAUCAAUCGUGGGUCAUUUGACACAUUAUUAAAUUUAUGUACAGGAAUGCAAUUAUGAAAAUUAUAUUUGUUAAAGCGUAGAGUAGUGAUAAUUAUAGAGCAUUUGUGUUGCAUUGAAUACUGUAUAAAUUACACGUAUCGCAAUCGAAUAUUGUAUUGCCAAUCGAUUUAUUUACUGUGUUCGUUAGCAUGAUUAUUAGAUUUAUCUUUCUUGACAAAGUUAACUUGCAUAUCGAAACUUUACCUAUACUUUUUUCCAUAUUUUUUCAAAUAUUCUAUAAAAUAUUUAUGUGUAUGAUUGAAUUAUUCCUAUGAUUGAAAGUAUAUAAAUGAAAUUUAUUAAUGAUUUUUUGUUACCUUCUUUAAAUUUACUUAAGCACCAAUAUCGUAAAUUAAUAAUAAUUAUAUUUAUCUAUAUGUUUAUUUACGUUAUCAUAUUUGGAAUAGUUUUUGAAUUCUACAUUAAUAAAAAUUUUUGAAUGUGUAACUAAUUUGAUCAUAUUUUGUAUGUGUAGUAUUUUAAAAAUAUUUUUUUAUAU